GAUGAACGCUGGCGGCGUGCUUAACACAUGCAAGUCGAACGGUGAACGAGGGAGCUUGCUCCCUCCGGAUCAGUGGCGAACGGGUGAGUAACACGUGAGCAAUCUGCCCCGAACUCUGGGAUAAGCGCUGGAAACGGCGUCUAAUACCGGAUACGACGCGCGCAGGCAUCUUCUGCGCGUGGAAAGAAUUUCGGUUCGGGAUGAGCUCGCGGCCUAUCAGCUAGUUGGUGAGGUAACGGCUCACCAAGGCGACGACGGGUAGCCGGCCUGAGAGGGUGACCGGCCACACUGGGACUGAGACACGGCCCAGACUCCUACGGGAGGCAGCAGUGGGGAAUAUGGCACAAUGGGCGCAAGCCUGAUGCAGCAACGCCGCGUGAGGGACGACGGCCUUCGGGUUGUAAACCGCUGUUAGUAGGGAAGAAGCGAAAGUGACGGUACCUGCAGAAAAAGCACCGGCUAACUACGUGCCAGCCGCCGCCGUAACAC
rnacentral:rRNA from 1 species